UACUCAUUUGAUCUUGCUAUGUUAGCCAAACAAUGUUGGAGACUUAUCACAAAUCCCGAUUCUCUGUGUGCAAAGGUAUUGAAAGCCAAGUAUUAUCCAAAUGGGAGUUUGAUUCAUGCAAGAUUAAAAAAUGGAGCUUCAUUCACAUGGAAGAGUAUCAUGAAAGGACUUGAGUUGUUCAAAAAAGGAUACAUUUGUAAGAUUAGCUCAGGGGAGGAAAUCAAUAUUUGGAGUGACCCUUGGGUUCCCUCCACUCUGGACAGAAAGGUCAUUACUCCGCGUGGCCAAGCCUUGUUAACAAGGGUCAACUAG
rnacentral:rRNA from 1 species